rnacentral:misc_RNA from 1 species
AACGCAUAUUGCGCCCUCUGGUAUUCCGGGGGGCAUGCCUGUUCGAGCGUCAUUACAACCCUCAAGCUCUGCUUGGUAUUGGGUGUCACUGCUAGAGUACACCUUAAAAUCAGUGGCGGUACCACCUGGGCUUCUAGUAUAGUAAUGAUUCUUACUAUGGAGCCUUGGGUAGUUGCUAGCCAGCAACCACUUUUUCAAUGGUUGACCUCGGAUCAGGUAGGGAUACCCGCUGAACUUAA